rnacentral:tRNA from 6 species
GCGCCUGUAGCUCAGCUGGAUAGAGUACCUGGCUACGAACCAGGCGGUCGCACGUUCGAAUCGUGCCAGGCGCACCA